AGAGCAAACUUCUGUGUCUCCUAAGGAUUUUGGGCCGCUGAAUCCGAAUCCGGGCUCAGAUUUGCUCUAACACGUCACAAUUUUGAGCUAUACCUCAAUUUAUAGGGCAAAAUAUGCGAUUUUGGGCUUUUUUGACUGCAAGCCAUUAAGCAUGGAUAUAUUUUUUUUAAGCAAUCAAAAGGUAAAUUGGUCAAUUAUCAUCUAAAUUAACGACUCAUGCAAAAUAUUUCGUUUUACCUAAUCAAAUUUGACAGAUUUAAGCAUUUUAUGUUAGUAUGAAAACUUGCAUGCAACUUUUGAAGGGUGACUUGUAUGGGAAAUAUCGUACCCAACAUAAAUGGCUUAAAACUAUCAAAUUCGAUUUGGUAAAACGAUUUUUUUUGCAUGAGUCGUUAAUUUAGAUGUUAAUUGACCAACUAACCUUUUGAUUGCUUAAAAAAAUAUCUUCAUACUUAAUGGCAUGCAGUCAAAAAAGCCCAAAAUCACAUAUUUUGCCCUAUAAAUUGAGGUAUAGCUCAAAAUUGUGACGUGUUGGAGCAAAUCUGAGCCCGGAUUCGGAUUCAGCGGCCCAAAAUCUGUCAGAGACACAUAAGUUUGCUCUUGAGACAGACCAAAAGUUAAUUUUUGUUACGCUGUGUUAUUGCUGUCGUAGUGACACAGUAAACGAAAAAAAAACUGUAUAUUAGGUUAAGCGAUUAAGAAUAAAAAAUACGUAGAAACUCAAAGAAGAUUUCACUCAGAAACUUCUGGAGAGACUAGCGAAGUAUCUAUUGCAAGGGCAUUUCUGCAGUAUUUCUUGGCGACAGUUUGCCAAGAAACUUCUGUUAGAAUUUUCAGUGGAACUUCUUCACGAGGCCCAAGAUGAGCUGAAGGAAUUUCAAAAGAAACUUCCUAGAGUAUCUCGGGAAAUUCCUUGAGGAACUUCUGAAGGAAUUCCUAAUGGAACUACUGAAAGAACUCCUGGACUAACUACUGGAAAAUGAGUGGAAAAAAACUUUCAGGAAUUUUGGUUUUCGGAUCAAAUAACUACCAACCAUCCCUUCUUUAGUAUGAAUCACUUCGAUUUUUAUUGAACUUGUUCAAAAUAUACUUAGAACUAAAAAUAAAUAUCUCAAUCAUAUUCACUAGAUCUUUUUUAUUUCUCACUUUCUCUUCACUUUGUGUGUUAAAUCCUUAUAGUUAUUAUACCUUUGUUGUUGAUUUGCGCUUCUCGCAGUCAAACGUGACUCGGUUCUAGUAUCUCUCUCGCCCGUACAAAAGAUACACAAACUCUGUACAACUCAAAGCCUACAUACGUAUUGGUUUUACUCCAGGUCUAUAAAUGCUUCCGUGUCAAUUGUGUGUGGUGACAACUGAAUAACCCUACAUGAAUAAAUCAACAAACUCCGAUAGUCCCUUCCAUUUGUAACUCUUUCCUCAGAUUCCGACGGCUCUGUUGUGAACCGCCUUAUACGUCCAUUCGUUUCCAAUACAAAUUGUAAAUAAAAUAUAGUCUGUUUUCUUUACUUCUGACCCAAACAAUCUUUGGUGUGCGUGUGUUCCAGUUGGUUCGGAUACUUCGUACACCGGAGCACACGCUGGAAGGGAUCUCACAACUACGCUCGCACGCGCUUGUAUCACAAACACAUUUACCCAACCUAAUCUUCACACAUGUUCGUGAGUAACCUAAAAAUUUAGCGCUUCUAAUUUGGUUUGCUUGUCCUUUGGAGUGACUAUUUUAACAUGUACUUCUCUUCAAUUUGUUCUGUCUUUAAUCUAAAGUAGUUAUUGUAUUAGCGCUGUUGUUUCACGGUUUUUCUUAGUCAGUUUCUUCCUCUAAAGAUAACUACAACUCUAUUUGCUUGGUUUACUUUCACUAGAGAUUCUAUGGCUAGUUACAAACAGUCAUCACACAGUCGCCAUCCGAGAAAAACAAACGAAAAAAUACGUCGUACAGCUCUCGCAAACAUUUACAGGAUUCAGGAGGACGUCGCUCAAACGUUUGUUUUGACUCUUUUUAUCCGAUAUAUUUUGAUUGUUGAACGCCAGUGUAUUUGCUUGAUGCUUCUAUUCUUUUGUGGGUGUGAGUGUGUUCGAUCAAUGAUGUCGUCGCUAGUUUUUUUUUGUUAUCUUAAAUCACAACUAUUACUCUCUAACUUUGAUUCUAAUUUCUGUUCCGGUGUGGCUUACUUUACCAGGUUUGACUAUUUAUUACAAGCGCCGGGACUCGGGGGAGUCGGUGAGGACUCCCGGUCGGUCCCGGCUUGGUUUCAUCUCAAUUUUCUUUAUAGUUAGUUAACUCAACAGCACUUUGAAGUUUUUUUUCGUUUUUCAACAACAUUUACAUUUAUAUUUUGGUUUAUGUUAUUUUUUGUCAUUUUCUUUCCUAUUUUUAUUAGUUUAGAGCCUAGUUUUUACUACGAUUAUGAUUUUUUGUCUAGUUUCGCUUUGAUCACGAUGUUUGCUUCUGUUGCCCUAGAAAUGGAUUGCACUAGUUGUGAUGCUCAGAAUGAUCGAGGGAUAUAUGAAGAGAUAGACAAAGUGUGUGACACUUUUCAGGUUCAGAAGAUUUAGCGGCUGGUUCCAGUUUAACGGAAUAAACUCUUUCGGUAUAUAAUGGUAACAUAAUGGUUUCAACAGUGGUAAAUACUUGACUUAAGUUGAUCUAAUGAUAAGCGUUUUGAUUUGCAGUUUGCUUAAUUUGGACUUCGAUUAGGUUUUGGCUUUUCUAACAUAUUGACUUGAAGUUUGUUAAUGGUAUCUGGCAGCACCUAACUACUAAAGUCGUUGGGAAGUUUAUUUUUACAAUGAUCAUGGACCGAGAGACUUAGUGGUAAUUCAGCAACAGUAAAAUCAAUUAUAAAUUAUUCAAAUAAACCAGAGAAGCGAAGCUAAGCAAAGCAUUAGUUGAGUAGAAUGGAAAAGAAAGAAAGGACUUGUUUGAAAAAUCGUUACAAUUAUAUAUGUUGCUUAUCGACAAACUGAAAUGUGAAUGGGGAGAUAAAAUUAUUACAACUCUUUCUGAAACAAGAUGCCUAGUCUAGUAAUUGAGGCCGACUCUUUAUAUUCUACCCAGAAUCGUAGUGGGCGAUUAUGACGAUUAUGUCCAAGACGCUUCCCGAGCAGAGGAGAAUAGUAAAUUGAUAACAACAGAAUCACAUAGCCUGUUUUUUUAUCAUAAUUUGUUAUUAUUAACUUAUUAAAAUAUGUCUUUUCAAACCCAUGUUUUGUUGGGCAAUCUUAUUUUGUUCAAGUUGUUGGGAUAUCUUGUGGAUUACCAUUUGAAAAAUAUAUAUUUUGUUGUACAGCAAGUUAAGUUAUUAUUCUUCUUUAGAGAAUGUACAAAUAUGUGAUGAACAAUAACACAACAAUAAAAAGUUCACAAAUUACCUGUUAUUAAGUUGUGACUGGUCUAACAAAACAUGUUAUUGAAUUAGUCUUCCAGGAACAUUUUUUGUUAUGAUAUUUGUUAUUUUGCCGCUUAUGACAGACAAGUUUAUAACAUAAUAUGUUAUGCUUAUAACAUAAAAAUUACUGGUUCUAUUAUACAAUUAUUAAGCCAAAAUAACAUAUUUUAUUAUGCUGUUGAUAUUUUCUUCUGCUCGGGUUUCUCUAUCUUAGGCGCCGUUCACAAAUUACGUAACGCUCUAUUUGGAGGGGAGAGCAUGGCCAAGCGUUACGACCCACACAAAAUGUUUAAGAUUUUCGUACAAAAAAGUGUUACGGAGAGGGGAGGGGGGUAACAAAAAUGUCGAUUUCAGCGUUACGUAAUAAAUGGAAGUUGCCUUAAGGAAUUUCAGAAGGAAUUGCUGAAAAAAAAAAUGACAAUGGGAUUUCCAGAGAAAUUACCGGAAAAUCCAAAUUGUCGGAGGAAUCUUCAAAGAAAAUACCAGAGAAAAUUCUGUAAAAAUGUCGAAGGAUUUCCUGAGUAAUUUCUUUAAAAAAUUCUAAACAAUUCAUUGAGAAAAUUAUUGAAGAAAUUCUAAAAUUAUUGCUGUAAGCAACUUUUUAGAAUGACGGAGCAAACCUAUAAAUAAUUGCAGGAAAAAUUCUAAAAUACUUUACCCCGAGAAUUCGAAGGAACUCUAAAAGAAAUAAUUUCAUACUUACUGCCGAAAAAAUCAGCGGAAGGAUUCCUCAAAAAAUUCUCGGAAAAAUUUCUUUAUUAAUUGCCUGACAGGUUCUUGGUUCUGUUGACAUUUGCGAGGCAGUUUUUAAGAUAAUAUAUGAAUUAAUUUCUAGAAAAACAACCAGAACUAUUAAAUAAAUUGUCGAUGGUAUUGGUGAAAAAACUGCCGGAGAUAUUUCUUUUGAAUUUAUCAAUUGGCUAAAUAAUAUGGCGGAGGCAUUUAUAAGAAAAUUACCUGAGAAAUUCUUGAAAAAAACAAACUUCGAAAGAAUUGCUGAUGUGAUUAAAAAAACACAAUCCCAAAUAAUUGCCGUAUUAUUGAAAAACUAUUAAAGAAAUUGUCACAUGAUCUGCUGAUAAAUUGCAAGAGGAGUUUCUUGGAAUAUUUUUGAAGAAAUAUCUGAAGACGUUUUCUGAAAAAAUCCUUUAGAAUAUUCCGAAGAAAUAAGUUGCCCUAAACAUUACUGAAUUUCUUAGGAAAUUACUUAUAUAAAUCGCAAAGAAACUAGCAGAGGAAAUCCUUAACAGGUUUUAAGAACUUACUAAAGAAAUUUCAUUAGAAAUUUCCUUAACAAUUCAUUGGAAAAUAGUCGAAGGAAUUCUCAAAAUGUUGCUAGAAGAAAGUCUAAAAUAAUGACGCAGCAUUUGUUCACAAAAUUGCAGGAGGAAUCUUCGAAUCUUGAACUUACUGUCGAAGAAAUUGGCGGAAGAAUUAUUAAAUAAGUUCUUGGAGGAACUCCUACAUAAAUUUGCUUGACAAGUCUGGAGAACAUUUUCGGAGUAGUUGCUUAGAUAACAUUAAAAUAAAUUCCUAAAACAAGAACUCGAAUUCUUAAAGAAUUGGCCGGAGGAAUUUGUGAACGAAUUUCCGUUUUUUUUUUGUUAUUUUCCAUAGCUAUUCCUUGAUAAAGUGGCUGAAGAUAUGCCGGAGACAUCUCCAAGAAAUUUGCCUGAGGAAUUCCUAAAAAAAACUGACGAAAGAAAUGCUGAAAUUCUAAAUUAUAAAAACCCCAAAGAAUAACCGCAUGAAUUUUUCAAAAAUUGUUGGAGGAUUUCCUGAUAAUAGGACAGAUCGGUGAAGUACUAGAUUUGUAGUAAUGAGCUGAAUUUUAGUAUGGUGAGAAGGUCAAUUCUCCGUUUCUGCAAUAAAAUGGUGCAAAAAGCGUGGGUAUUAUGAUUCCUUGCCUAAUUUAAUGCUGUUUGAGCAAAACUUUGGGCAACAGUGUUGUUAUUUUCUCCAUUUCUUGCAACAUAAACAACAUACUUAUCCAAAGUUUUGCUCAAACAGCAUCAAAUUAGGCAAGGAAUCAUAAUACCCGCGCUCUUUGCACCAUUUCAUUGCAGAAACGGAGAAUUGACCUUCUCACCAUACUAAAAUUCAACUCAUUACUACAAAUCUAGUACUACACCGAACGUGCCCCAUUGCAAGAAGAGUUCCUUAAAAAAUCCCAAUAAAUAUAAAAGAAAGUCCUGAAAUCCUGACUUUGUGAAAAAAAAAUCCGAAAAUACUAUAAGCUGUAUUUCUGUGAGACAGCUUGGAAAAAAUUCCUGAAUAUUUCUAUAUGAAUGUGGAAUUCAUUAUGAUAUCUGUGCUAUAAACUUCCAGUGGACUUUCUGAAGGAAAUUCUUAAAAAAUCGAGGAAUGCCUUGAGUAAUGCUCGGAAAAUUCCUUUAUAAAUUACCAGAGGAAUUCGUGAGCAAAUUACAAUAGGAGUUGCUCAAGGCAUUUUCAAAAAUUUCUGAAAUAAUUUUAAAAGGAUUUGCCAUAAACAUUGUUCAGAAAUAUUGUAGGGAAUUCAUCUCCUGAUGGAAUGUCCAGAGAAGUUCAUGGAGAAUAUGGGAGGAAUUCCAAGAUAAAUUGUAAAAUAAACUGUCAGAGACGCCGUCGUUCAAUUUCAAAAGGAUUGUUGGGAAUUUCAUAAAAAUAUGCUUCAGAAAAAAUCCUAGAGGAAAUCUUGACAGAAACUACUAAACGAAUUACACUAGUUUACAGCAUUUUUGAACUCGGUAAGCUGAUGAUCAUUUUUGGUGUAGAAUCAUGCCCUGAGUUCGAAAACGCGAAAGAAAAAAAUUACAGUAGAGCGGAAAUUUUUUCGACUUUCCAUACAAGGUUGAUGAUUUUAAAUCGAUUUUUGUUCUAUUUUUAAGCAAAGUCGCUAACUUCAAACAUCUCAUUCUCCGUAGCCAAUGCUCCGAUUGAGCAGAAUUUUUUACUGUAGCUCGCCUACAUAUUGUAUGUCAAAUAAACGUCGAGAAAGAAUUUUUAAGUUGGUUUUUUCUUAUAAAAAAAAUACAUUUCUUCAAAAAAUUUAAUUAUUGGUGGAAGUUAUAAAAAAAUGCUUGAAGCAAUCUUGAAGCUAGUGGAGAAAUUUAAAAAGAAAUUGUCUGGCAAAUUGCUAAAGAAACAGUUGCAGAAAUCCCUCAGGUAAAUAGCUAAAUGCCAUUCCAAAAAAAAUCAAAUUUUUCACGAAUUUCAAGAAAUUUCUGAAUGAAGUUGCAGAUAAAUACCAGAAAAAGUUGCUUGGAGAUUUCCAAAAAAAAAAAUUGCCGAUUAAUUGGCAAAAGAAACAUAAAAAAUGUAUGUUUGAAUUGCACAAGAACUCUUAAGGAAUUUUAAAACACACUAAGAGAGGAUCUCCACCAAAAUAGGACAAAAAAAUUAUAAGGAGCUUCCAUAGAAAUGUCCGAAAUUAUUGAAAUUAUUGUAUGAUUUGCCGUGGGGAUGCCGAAAAAAAUUUCUGAAGAUGUUCUAAAUGAAUAAGAAAUUCAUGAUUAAAUUUGUCCAAUAAACUUCUGAGAAACUUCAUGGAAGAAGCUUUAAAAAAUCCUUAGGAAUUCCUUAAGUAAUGGUCAGAAAAGCCCUUUAAAAAUUACUGUAGAAAUUCCUCAAAGAAUGUUAGUAGAAACUACUUAAAGAAUUUCUAAAAUAAUUCAUGAAAGAACAUUUUCUAGAGAACUUAUCAGAGAAAUUCUUGGAAAAAAUUUCCUAGCGAAAUUUGUAGAGGAAACGGGAGAAAUUCCUAAAGAAACUUUAAAAUUCAAAAUAAUUGUUGAAAAAUUCUUCAAAAAUGCCACUGAAAGAAUUGCUUGAGGAAAUCUUGAGAGAAGCAUUGUCGGUCGAAAUCAUGAAAAAUGCCGGAAGCAAUCUUCAAGCGGAUGCAGGAUAAUUUAUGAAAACAAUUGUGGUGAAAUACCUGAUGAAAUUGCCUGAGGAAUUCAUAAAAGAACUAUAGAAAGUAUUGCUGAGAAAAAAAAAACAAAAAAAGAGCGUGAUUGAAUUGCAUAUGGAUUCAUUAAGAAUUUUAAAAAUAUCUCUUAAAAACUAAAAAAAUUCCAAAAGGAUAACUGAACAAGUUGCAUUAGUAAUUCCUAUAGAAAAUACAGAAGAAAUUAUGAGGCUUUUCGAAGGUACUUCCAUCUCUCUCUCUCUCUUCUCUCUUCUUGGCGUAACGUCCUCGUUGGGACAAAGCCUGCUUCUCAGCUUAGUGUUCUAUGAGCACUUCCACAGCUAUUAACUGAGAGCUUCCUCUGCCAAUGACCAUUUUGCUUGCGUAUAUCGUGUGGCAGGCACGAAGAUACUCUAUGCCCAUGGAAGUCAAGGAAAUUUCCUUUACGAAAAGAUCCUGGACCGACCGGGAAUCGAACCCGUCACCCUCAGCAUGGUCAUGCUGAAUACUCGUGCGUUUACCGCCUCGGCUAUAAGGUACUUCCAUAUAAAUUGAUUAGAGAACUCCUAGAAAACUUGUCAGAGGAAUUUCCAGAGAAAAUAAGAGGAAUUUCAAGAGAAACUGUUGGAGAAACCGUCGUACAACUUCAAAACGAUUUGUUGAGGAAUUGAUGGAAAUAUUUAAGAAGAAAUGGCCUGGCAACUUGCUGAAGAAAUUGACAGAGGAAUAUCUGAGUUGAUAAAGUUAAAUAGUUAAAGGAAACCCCAAAAAGAUUGCCGGAAAAAAUCUUAAAAAAAUCCCAAGAAAUCCUCCAACUUCUAGAGAUAUUUUGGAAAAAAUUCUCGACUAAUUUACGAGAAAAUAUUUAAAAUACGCUUGGUGGAUUCUUGACAAAAAAAUAAUUUUCGAAAGAUUUGUCAAAGGAAUUCUAAACAGUUGCAUGAUUGGAUGCAUAUGAUUGGUUAAAGAAUUUGUGACAUAAAAUGUUGGAGGAUUUUAUUUAAAAAAUACAGAAAAAUGCCGAAAUAUCUGAAGCGUUUCCUGAGGGUUUUUGUUAAGAAAACUAUGUGAAAAUUGUUGGAUAAAUUUCCGUGGGACUGCCUGAAAAAUAAAAUUCCAAACAAUUUCUAGAUAAAUGAGGAAUUUAUGAUGACAAUAAUGGCUCAAUAAACUUUUGAAAAACUUCUUGGAGGGAGCUUUCUUAACCAUCCAGGACGCGCGCCAUCAAGCACUCGAAACUGCACCCCGCUCACACUGUAUACGAAAAGCGAGGUUUUUUGGUAGUGUUGUACUUUUUACAACAGCGCGCGCGCUGAAGGGUUAAGAAGAAAAUCUGGGCAAUUACUCAAGGAAUUCUGGAGUGAUUCCUGAAAGAAUUUUCGAAGGAAUUUCCAUAGAAAUGGAAUGGGGAGUUUGUGUGGCUUCAUGGUCGUGCGGCUAGUUUCACCAAGCUUCUGAGAGCGAGGGUUCGAUUCGCAUCGCAGCCGUCAGAAAAAGUUUUCGGCUGUGCCACUGGGCUUUGCAUGCUAAUCUGUUGUCUGGUGUCGUGCUUCCUUCAAUAGCAAAAAGCUCACUGGAAGCGUUUAGCUUGUCCAUGUUAAAAAAAUAAACUGGAGAACUCAUCAGAAGAGUUCAUGCAGGAAUUUCCAGAGAAGUUUCUGAACAAAUUGUCUGAUGAAUGCCUAAAGAGAUUACGAGAGGAAUUGCAAGAGAAACUGUCGGAGAAACCGUAAUAAAACUUUAAAAGAAAUAUUGGAAAAUUCCUGUGAAAGAAUACAAGAGGAAUUGUCCGUGGCCGGAAGCAAUCUUCUAUCAGUUGUAGUACAUUUUCUAAAGGAUUUUUUCAAGAAUUUUCCAGAGUAAAUCUCUAAGUUCUAGAUAUUAGAAAAAUGCAAAUAAAUUUAGGGAGAAAAAUCAGAAGAAUUCUCUGAAAAUGUCCAAACAACUUGUUGGAGGGACUUCUUAAAACUGGCAGAAUUUCCAGAAGAAUAUCUGAAGAAGUUUUCUGAGGAACUCCUUUAGAAAAUUCCUUAGAAAAUAUUGGUCGAAUUUCCCUGGGACUGCCGAAAAAAAAAACAAUCCAAAGAUGUUCUAAAUAAAUGAGAAAUUGACAAUGACAUUUAUUCACUGUACUUCUUAACCCUAAAAGGGAUACCUUCAUGGCCUCAGUUUCAUCACCUCGCUGAGUUUGUUCCAUCAAAGACGAGCUCUGAAAGGCGCCUGGGGUCCAAUGGACCCCAGGUAUCCCUUUUAGGGUUAAAGAAAGUUAUGAAAAAAUGUACGAGCAAUUCCUGGAGAAAUGAUCGAAACAUUUCUUUCUAAACUACCGGAGAAACUCCUAAGGAAGUUCCAGUAGGAAUUAUCCUUGGAAUUACUGGAAUUACUCCAGAAAGAACUUUCGAAGAAAUUUCCAUAGAAAUUGACCAGGGAAUUUCAAAGGAACUUUUGCUGCACAACAUCACAAGAGUUGCUGCAGAAAGAAUGAAAAAUGCUCCUUACAAAUUUCUAGAGGAAAUCUUGAGUGAAGGUACUUGAGGAAUUGCCGGUGGAAAUCAUAAAAAAAAUGCCGAAGGCAAUCUUUCUGCAGUAGCAGAACAGUUUCAAAAACAAAAUAUCCCAGAGCAAUACUUCAACUUCCGGAGAUUUUUUUUAAUACAUCUUCUAUAUAAAUAAAAAUGGAAUGGUGUUUGUAUGUCACGAAUAGGCUCGGCAACGGGCCAACGGAUCCACACCAUUCUUUCAGUGUUUCAUUCGUACAGGGUUCCGACGUGUUCGUACGAAAAAAUAAUUGGGAAAAUCGAACGGGAACGCACCGAAAAUGAGAAAGUUUGAAAUUCCAUUUCGCGGGCCAUUUUUCUGUAGAGCUGCAUGUCAAAAACACAGUAGGCAGACAGAACGACGUUUGCCGGGACACUUGCCGGGACAGCUAGUUUCCAAUGAAAUUAUUAAAUUCUUAAAAAAAAAGUGUCGACGGAAUUGGAUGCAUUCUUGGGGAUUUUCUGGAAUUCAAAAUUGUAGCAUAAUUUCCUAAACAUUGAAAAAUAUUCGGGAUAAUAUCUGAAAAAGUUUACAAAGUUUGAAAAUUGUCAAAUAUUGAAAUUAUUGGAUUAAUACCUAAAGAGAUAACGGUAAAAAUGUUAGAAAAAACUGUGAGAGCAACUGUUAGAGGAACCAUCGUGCAAAUUUAUAAGUUUUCUUGGAGAAUUUAUUUAAAAAUGCUCCUAAAAGAAUAUCUAGAGGAAAUCCUGUGAGAAGCUACUAGAGGAAUUGUAGGUGGAAAUCAUAAAUAAACGUCGAGGGCAAUUUUCAAGCAGCUGCAGAACAGCUUCUGAAAAAAAAAAUGUUGGGAGAAGUUUGCCUGGCAAAUUGCUGUAGAAACUGUCACAGGCAUACCCGAGUAAAUAGUCGAAAGAAACCCAAAAAAAAAACAAAUACGGAAGAAAUUCCUGAAUGAAAUUCGAAUGGAUUUUUUCGAAAUAUUUUUCGAAGCAUCCUCCCAUCUUCUCAAAGUUUGGAAAGAAUUUUAAAAAAUACUUUCUGAAAAAGAAAAUUGAAAAAUGGGCUAAAGAAAUCCCAAGAAGUAGCACGAUUAAAUUGUGUAAUAAUUCUUAAAAUAAAAUCUGAAAAAAAUAUUGGAGGAUCUCCUAAAAAUUUGCAUUACUUUUUGGGGUAGAAAUUUCCUAAGAAAAUCCUAUUAAAAACUCUCUAGAAUAUAUUUGGCAAAUUUUCAUGAGACUGCCGUAGAAAUUUCCUUAAGAAUUUCUAAAUAGAUGAGAAAUUCAUGUUGACAUUAGUUCAUUAAACUUCUGAAAGACUUUUGGAAGGAAGUCCAAGAAAAAUCCAUAGUCAUAGAAGCUACUCUAGGAACUCUCUUCAGCCAGUUGCAGAAUAAUUUCUGGAAAAAAAAUAUGGAGGAAUUUCUGAAGAAAAUUUAAAAAAAACCUGCCAGAAAAAUACCUGUAAAUAAAGAGUAAAUAGUUGAGGGAAGCCCCACAAAGAUAUCGAAAAAAUAAAUUUCUCAAUUUUUUUUUCGAGAAUUCAACGGAAUAGUUUUUUUACGAAUUUUCUCAAGAAACCAUUUUUAACAUAAACUAAUAUUAGAAAAACUAUUGAUACAAGAUGCAUUCAUGACACUGUGUUAUAAUUGCUUAGGGGAGAUAUCUUAACCCUGGCUUCAGCGUGGUUUAACUAUAUGGGUAAGCCUGGCUUACCGGUUAAGCCGAGGCAAAGAAAUCGCCCCUAAGGUGCCUUCUUCAACUUACGUAACGCUCUAGGAGUUUGACUAAGCUUCAUGGCGGAUGCUAAAAUUUUAAGAUAUUCAUACAAAAAAGCCGAAAAACAUUUCUGAGGCUUCCUGAAGGUCUCAGAGGGCUUCAAAAGGACAACGUUCCGGUAGGUUCCAGGAGUUCUAAGUGGCUUUUUAGAGAGUAGCAAGGUCUUUUCAGUACAUUCCAGAGAUUUUUCUCGAUGUUUCAAGGGCACAUUUAAGGUAAUUCAGGUAAAACUGAAUGGAGGAUCUUUAGGAAAGUUCCAAGAAGUUUCAGGGAUCGAUUAGGGUUUUCUCAAGGGCACUACACGGACAGAAAUGUCUUCUGAUUCAUAUUACCUUUUUCAUAGUUCUGUCAAGCUUCGGAGAUAUUCUUGGCAUAAUCGCUUCAAAUGGUGGAUUCACAAUGAUUUGAUGUCUGCAUCAAGCAUAUAUUUCGUUUUAAUAAACAUCAUUGAACAUCAACCAUCAAAUGCUUAAACCAUGCAUAUACGUCAUUACUUUAACUCCUUGCUGGCCGAGACUCCUGACUGCUGUCUACUCAGUCAUUGUUCGUCAUGGCGGCGGUGGAAGUAGUUCAAAGUGACGAAAUCGUUUACUAUCAGCCAUUGCGUGAAUAUUUUCUUCGUGGGGCAAUGGAAAGUGAAAUAGGUGUACUGGUAUUUAAUCUAUCUACGAUGACUUCGUCACUUCAGUUUUAGGUGCAGCACCACCGAUUGAAAGUUAGCCCGAAAUGCAGCAGCCGCGACACUAAAACAGGAGCAAGAACCAACCACCGGAACAAACGCAACCCUGAUGGGACCGCCCGGCUCGGACAAGGUAACCCAGCAUCCGCUGCUGAAGGAGAAGGAUCGAUUCCAAUAUGGACAAACCGGAGAUCAAAAAUUGAUUCCACCUGGAUAGUUUCCGUUGGACCGUUGUGCAAGCCAAGCUAGAUGACCGGCUGGAGAUGCGCAAGACCGGACUAGAUGUCGUCAUAUCACGAAGCGUUUACCCCACGGAGCUCCCAAUGACGGACCACGUGAUCGGAUAUCCCUUGAUGAGCCGAAGUGGCGAGAAUACCGCAGCGCUGGUGAAACGCCUGGAGCCUACUACAACAUAUCAAACCCCUGGCCGACUAAUACGCCGUCGCGUGGACUGCACUUCUGGGUCGAUGCACAUCAUUUGAAUCACAAAUUGUUUGAACAGACUUUUAAGGAUAAUAAAGGACUUUUAUUUUGCUAAUUAAACGUUCCUGUAAUGGUGGUAUUUAAGUGCAAUAUGUUACAUUUAGAACAUAUUGCACUAAAAUACCACCAUUAUAGAAAUGUUCAUCCCAAAUUUAAAGUUUUUGAUUCUAGAAAUACAACAUAACCUCAUUUGAACGAUUUUUUUGUAUGCCUAAAACAAUCAUCCGCAACAGUUACUUUAAGUCUCAAUUCUAGGGUUAACAGGGGUUGAGUUAAGCAUAAAUAUGAUUAUAUCUACCAUGAGAUUAAGUGAGCUGUCAAACCAUCAAUAAUAAAUAUUGUUGAUGUAUGCAUAAUAUGAUUGAGUCAACCAUAUUUCUUGCUCUAAUCAGUUCAUCAAUUUUGAUCUUUUCAAGCUUCUGUUAUGCUUCGUCCUAUGGUAUUAUGCGUAAUACAAUCUCAAAAAGGGCUUAUAUAAAAGUCAGUGCACAAAUAUGCUUGUUCGCGACCGCAAUAUGAUUGAUAUAACUUUAUAUUUUUCUCCGUGUACAGGCGUUUUUAAGGGAUUAAGGAGUUUUCAUUGGUAUUCAAGGACGCUUUCGAGAAUUUAAAGAGGUUUUCUGAGGAGUUUUGGGGCAGUUGAAAAGCAUUUCUGUGGGCCUAAGGGAGAUUCAAACACAUUUUCGCGGAUCUCAUGGAUAUUUCAGUGGAUUUCAUCAAGAUCUUUGAACAUGCGUUAAUGCGUUGUAGAGCAGGGGUUCCCAAUCUUUUUGAGGUGGCAGCCCCCUCUUAAGAAUUGUCAAUACAUCUGAGGCCCAAUGAAAAUUUUUAGAAAUGAAUGUGAAAUAAAUGAACGAAACCGAGAUUUUUUGGAUACAGUGACGCAGCCAGAAAUUUACUGUGGGAGGGAUUUUCGACGAUCAAUAAUUCGUUUUUUUUAUUCGACACUCACAUUUCGUAAACAAUAAUGUUAUGUACAGUCAAUUUAAGUUGUAGCUGAAAAAUAGCGGCGCGGACGAAAUUUUUUUUCUUCUGAUGGCGUUUUAUACUGAAAAUUUGUUCCCCAAAUUGUGGCUUUUGAGGGUGGCGGUAUACAAAAUUAAAAGUUGGUAUAAUUUGCACAAAAUAGAAUAAAAAUUUAACUGUUUUAGUACCAUCGCGGCCCCCUGGACUUGUUUCACGGCCCCCAGGGGGCCGCGGACCACCGUUUGGGAACCCGUGUUGUAGAGGGUUUCCAAUGGUUUCACGGUAUUUGAGAGUGCUUCAGUGCCCAUAGGGUCUGAUUCUCGUUAACAACUCUAGGAACCCAUUGAUAUGCUACAGUAUCCUCUGUAGUCCCUCCCGUAUCCCCCUAAGAGCUGUGAAACGCCCAGAAACCUCUAUGAAACCCCUUGAGACCCACUUAAAAGUAUCUGAAGAUCUUCUGAAAACUUCUAAAAUGUCCAUUAGACUCCUAGAAACGCCCCCGAAAACAGCUCGAACGUCCCUGAAAACUUCUGAAAUCCUUCUUGCUCUCGCUCUAUAGGGUCUGGAAAAAUUAAGGCAGGGGGACCUAUUUUGAGGACUUGUUGUUUUAACUUAGCCAGUUGACUUGAAUUUUGGAACAUGGUGAGAUGCGUACAUUAUCUAGCCAAGUACAAACAUUCAAUUCAAUCAGUUUGAGAUUGACUGAGUUAUAGCGGAAAGUGUCUAAAAUAGGCUCCCUGCCGAAUGGAGUGGAUCUAGCGUGAUGGUUUAUGCCCACAGCUAUUACUUCAAGGACCUGGGAUUGAAACUCGGUCCUAACAUACGCAACCUCAUGAAUCUCCAGAAAUAUUCUAAAAUUCCCCUGGAGGCCUCUAUCCUCACAUGUGAAUGUGGCUUUGUAUCCUCUGGUAUCCGCACCAUUGCAUUGAUCUUUUGAAAGGUGCUUGAAGCAUAUACUCACUUGAAUUUGAUAGAAUGUUCUACAAAAACUUCCCUCAACGUCCAUUCUACUCAACUAUUGUUAGGGAAAAAAAUACUUCAAUUAACAAUAGUUUGAUAAAAUAGAUACUGAUAUCAAAUAAAAAUUGAAAAUCCGCGAAAUACACAUAUAAUUUUAGGAUUUUUAGAGUUCUGAUCCAAUAAAUAACAUUGCACUAUUUACCCGGCUGCACACAUGGCAAAAACGAAAACAAAAACAUUCGCUCCCAAUAAUACUACAUUUCCAAUACCACUAAAGCCGCGUUAGAGAGCAUUUCGGUAACAUUACAACAGUUUGGAAGAAUUGCAAGCACAAACAGGCAGGCCUAAAUAUCACUAACACCAAGCUUCCUUGCACACGCAUACACACAUUUCCCUUUUGUCGAUUUGCUAUUUGAUUAUUGAUUUCUGCUUAAAAAUCUUCACAUCCAGGUUUCCAGAACGCAUACACCUAAGGUUUUAAACAUUGCAUUUGCUUGCACCGAUGCGUUUAUGCUAGUUACCUUACACAACAAGUGUUUUUUUGUUGUACAGAAAAAUAAAAAAAAGGUAAUCACUAUUUUAGCCUAACGAUAUAAAUAUUGCUUUUCCAUUAUUUAGAUCAUCCUCCUCACGGUGCGCGCUCACGCGGUAGAAUGUUUUAUAUCUCAUGGUUUACUACUCUCUCCCUCUCUCCAUUUUGCUCCUCGUUUUAUUUUUUUUCUUCUUUUUCUGUCAUGUAAAAGUAAGUUUGUUGAUGCUGCUCAGCUCAGUUUUCGUGAUCGUUUAUAGUCUACAAGUAGGACCUUCUCCCUCCCUCGUUUCAAAAUUUUUGAUCGCUGAUUUUAGGCUAAAUCUAGUUCUUAUUUCUCUCAUCUGUUGGUUUUUCGAUUUAAUUACAAGUGUUAUUUUUUUCAGCUGCUGAGUUGCUCCUAUUGAUUUUCUCAUUUUCGUUAACGUCGGUUUUGCAUGGUCGAGUCGCACAUUAACCACAUAAUUAUAUGAUUUUGUUCAUUUUAAACGGUUCACAUUCAUCUUUUUUGAUUUCUUCUCAUUUCGUAAUUUGAUGGUUUCCCAUUUAUUCCUAAUACAACACAGAUUUCAUCAUUGUUGGUAGCCAUCCUUACCGGCUUAUUUGUUUUUGUGGCAUGACGGCUCAACCAAUUCAUAAGAAAGUGACCAUCGUCUUCGGCAAACAAAUUGAAAAAAAUUAUUCAUGAUUAGAAAAAAAGUACAUAAACACAUUAGUGUGGGUCAUCGGUAUCGUUUUCUCAGAUCAAAGCUUUUUUGGUUCCGUUUCGGGUCCUGAGUAUCUGUGCAAAAUUUGAGCACGGAUCGGUUGCGUCUACCUGUACUUUGCGCAUAGCAAUUGAAAUUUGUAUGGGAUUUUGUAUGGGAAAACAUACUUUUUUGCAUAUUUGUCAUAAGUUGAAAAAGUUUGUCUGAAACUUGUUAACCGAUACUUUAAAAUGAUAGCCUAGGAUGUUCUGAAAAACUUUGUUGAAGACCGCAAAGCGAUCUGAUGCUUGUGAAAAUAGUUAUAACCAACGAACCGCAUGCAUAUGUUUAUGUUUUAACAUGUAAAGGAAUAACAUUAGCAACAAAAUCAUGCUGUUUCGCCACGAAAUGUAAACGCUAUAACUUUUUUCAUAAGCAUCAGAUCACUUCGCGGUCUUCGACAAAGUUUUUCAGGACACCCUAGGCUAUGUUUUCACUUUAACGGUUACAUGGCUUUAGAAAAAUUCGAGCUUGUUAUGAGAGGAAUGCAAAAAGUGUGUUUUCCCAUGUAAAACCCCAUACAAACUUCAAACGCGAUGCGCAAGAAGUAGACAUAACCGAUCGUGCCAGAAUUUUGCACACUUAUUUGGGUUCUGAAAUGGAAUCAAAAAAGCUUUGAUCUGAUGAGAUACCAUUGAAUUUUCCAUUUUUCCAUAUAAACGAUUACUCCAGAAUACGUGUUUGGCUUCAUAGACAACCUAGAACAUCAUGAUCAGUUGGAACAUGAAAAAAAUGUCAAUUGGGUUCCGAGCCACUUGGGCAGUGGCUGAUAUUUUGGGCACUUUUUCGCUAUAACAGAAUCAAUUCCAAACCAAUUGACUUAAAACUUCGAUACACGGCUAGAUCCUAUACGUAUGUCACCGCGCUCCAAAAAUUGUGUCGAUUGGUUCAAAAUUGGCCCAAUUAUAGCCGAAAAGUGCCCAAAAUAGAAGCCCUGCCGAGAUGGUUCCAUUUCCCUACCUGAAUCUGGUGCAUUUUUGGCUAGAUUUUUUCAAGAUUUCUUGAGAAAAUCCGAAGAAUUCCUAACUAACAUUCUAUGUAAUUCUUAGAGUAAUUAAAAGAGAAGGAAAGUGGUUUUAGUGACAAAAAAACCCACUUUCGAAUAAAAAAAAAAAAAGUUUAAGUUUGUCCUCAUUUUCUCAUUCCAUACAUUCCAUCCCAUAUGGGAUCGGACAAACAGACGUAAAACUGGCAGAAUUUACAUUGUCCACGCUUUUAACGAUUAUUUUAAAUCUUGCUAGUUGUAGCCUUCACAAACAGAGGCAUGACUAUCUUUUCGUUUGACGUUUCGCACUAGCGCCAUCUGUUGAUGAUGUUGCUCAAGGCAGUGUUCCGUGAAACAUGGUCGCCAGGUAGUGUGAUCUGGACGAUAGAUUCUCACGAAAAUUGUUAUAGAAGUUACGUCUGUUUGUCUGUGGAAUGGAGCUUCAAAAUCAACUAUAGUCCAUGCCAUAAAAUGGUAUAUUAUUUUUUGUAAUCAACGUUAACGAUUAUCUUUAAAAAUUACUCGACAUACUUUUACUUACACUGCUUUGCAUCUGGCCACCUGAAUUGUUUAAGCAAUUUCCGGGAUUCAUUUAAGAAUACUAUCUGACAAAAUACUGUGAGAAACAUCCGCAAAGUUUGAGUGAAUGAAUGUUGUUUAAAUUGACAUAUGUGCGAUUAUGGUACAUAACCGAACUUGCCAAGACAGUUCAGCUGUUUGGUUAUUCACACUGAAUAUCUAGAUUCAGUCAUUUCGUACACAUUCCAUUGAAUUUGGAUUCUCUCAAUAUCCAUCUUUUAACGGGAAAUUAAAAUCUUUUUGUGGAGCGCGAACAGAGAUUAGUGACAUUCCCCUUGGGUGUACUUCCCCUAUCAAGCGUUGGUGACAGCAAGCAUCACGACGAUGUGGGCAGUGUGAACCUCAUUGAGAAGUGGAGCAUUGACGGAGCAAGUCGCCUGCAUCGCGAGGUCCCGUAUCAUGCCAAGUGAUCCUAUUGUAGUUUAAUAAGAUAGCUGGAAACGGUAAGUUACGCAAUAUUCACAUUUUGUACCGAAAGUCUGAACGUCAAGUGUUGAACGUAUCCUUAUGCUAGCUCAAAUGGGUAAGAGCAGGAUGCAGCAAAUUCGAGCAAGUUCAUGCUACGUUGCUGAACAAAACUAUUAUCGUUUUCAAAUUUGUACGUUUAAAGUAUUUCUGGAGUUUCAGAAGUGAAUCGGAGGGGUUCCCGGAGUCUACGAGGUACCAGAGGGCUAUCAAGAACGUUUCCAAUAAUUUUCAUAGGAAUUCUAAGGCGAAUCAACGCGUUCCAAGAGGUUUCAGAAGCUUUCAAGAAAGUUUCAAAGUUGUUUCAGAUGGGGUUUCAAGGCGUUUCAAAACAUUAUUCAGGUUUUUCAGAUGUUUUAAGGGGUUUUGAGGAGUUGCGUAGAGUUUCGAGGUGUUUUCCAGUGCGUUUUAAGGAGAAUUUAGGAGUUUCAAGAAAUUUAAGUUUUUUUUUCAGAAGGAUUCGGAAAUUUUUCAUGAAGCUUUCAGAGAUGUUUUAGAUGGAUUUAAGGCGUUUUAAGUAAUAUCAAGACUUUUAAGGUGGCUUUUUUAUCUGCAUUUACGAGAUUUUUAGCCCUAGGCUAGUUCAUCUCCGGACCCACGCUUUACUUCCCUUCCGAAGGAAGAACUCACAUUUUUUGCGAGUUGGUCGGGGUGGGAUUCGAUCCCAGGUCCUCAGCGUGAUAGUCAAGUGUUCUAACCAUCACACCAGAUCCGCUCCACCAUUUUGAGGUGGCUUUCAAAGGUGUGUCAAAGGGGGUUUUCCUUGUGCACAUCCUUUAGCUUCAUAUCAGUUUUUGAAAACAUCUGAGAAUGCAACACAAACUUAAAUAUUUUAAUUUUGGAAAUAUGUACUUUUGAAUUACCGUGCAGAAAUCAGUGCAAAAAAACUGACAGCGCUAUCCAUAAAAAUCUGUCAUCAAAGACUUUUGGUGAGAUUACCCGUGUAGACGAUAAUAUCUAAAUUGAUUUGAUUGAUUGAUUUGACUUUAUUAAAGAGACUUUCAGAUAAUAUCUAAAUCAUACCUCAAAUCGAACUACUAUCGAUGUCAUAUCCUGAUGUGGUAUUAAUAUGUUGUUCAAAGAGUUAAUGAAUAUUACACGAGUAACUCAAAGUGGUAUGAAAUAAAUAUUUGUUCUCGCUUGUCGAAAUAUUUGAAACUUUCUAAAAACAAAUGUAGUUUGUUUUUGAAAAAAAAAAUGCAACUUAUACACCCUAAGAGAUGACUAAAUGUUGGUGAAAUACCAUGUGCCUCUUUCUGAGCUGUGGAAACGAAGAACCUAAUGCUCUUACUCCCCUCAGUUUCACAACACGGAGCCACAGUUAAGUGGUAAGCAUCGCCCCCUGUAAAUCCUAAAGUCAAUGGAUCGAUUCUGAGGGUUUUUAGAUUUUUUUUUAAUUUUCAAAGCAAACGGUCAACAAAUCUUGGCUGAUAUUAUUUUGAUCUUGUAAUAUCAGAACGAGUUAUUAUUCAGCACCACUUCUCCAUACUAGGUUUUGAUAUUAUGUGUUUCUGAUCUUUUACCUCUUAUCUCAAUCAAAUCGUGAAUUCGAUGUUUGCUCUCCUGUAACUCAACUAGUAAAUUUGUUAUUCAUUAGGUUUUUCCACCUACCAACACGAACAUCACUAAGGCGAUGGUUCUUCGUGAAGCAAGACAUCCUAUUGUAAUACCUCCGGCGCGGCGCUUCUCUUCAAAAUGGCCAGACGAAUAAAACAUCUGGGGUAGUUCAUAAGUUCAAAAGUUUUAAAAGCUGUCCUACAUGACGCUAUUCGGAAAUAGAAAUUCAACUUCAUAUGUUUUGAGACUUAAAGAAACGUCGAGGACAGAUUUUUCAACAAUUUUUACAUGGAAAUUCUUCCACGAAGUCUCUUGAUUCUAGUCAAAGUUACAACAAGCUAUAACGAUUAGCAGCUCAAGAUAUUAGGCAGGAGUUUUUUUUUUCAGAACUUGCCUGAAGCUUCUCAGCAGAUUUUUUUUUCAGUCUCCUCAAAAAAAAUUUUGAUAGAUCUCACUGGAGAACUUCCAUGAAUUUAUCCGGUUCUCAAAGGGCUGUUAUACAGUGGAACCUCUUUUAAAGCCAUUGAUUGGCUAGGGGUGCAUACAUUAAGUCAGGUCUUUAAUAAAGGAAUCUUGUUCAGAGAACAGGUCUUGCUUCUGAGUAUUUAAGAUGGGAGCAAGCGAUUUCCAGGAAGUUCCCAGAGAACCCAAAAAAUGAGGGUCGAAGAGGCUUCUCCGGGAAGAGAUCAAGUACUGACGAUCAAAACGUGAUAUUGGUUUGAUUGAUAUAAGAGGUAAAGGUAUUGAAAAUAAUAGCAAAAAAUGAUCCUAGGAUAUCAGACCAAUAGCAAAAUUUGAUAUUUGCAGAUCAAUCGCUGCUAUUGAUUAGCUCUCAGAAGAGCUUAAUUUGAUAUGAUGAUGUUGGUCGAGGAGUAAAUUUUAGCUAUUAUUUCCAGUACUUUUUGAUCUCCAUAUCAAAAUAUGUUUUUAUUGAGUUUUUUUUUCUUUUGCUCGGGUCGGGCCGUUUCAGAGGGUUUCCAAGAGCCUUUUUUGCGUCAUCUUUCGAUGGCAUUUCAAUGUGAUAAGUGAGAUUUCAGGGGCGUUUCGAAAUUAUGAAGAAGGGGUCAGGGGACGUUUUAAGGAGCUUUAAGGGCGAUUUAAGGGGAGUCUCAGGAGCCUUUAAAGGACCUUGUUUCAAGGCGAUUUGAAGAAUUUCAGGGGCUUUUCAUAAGGUUUGUAUAAGCAUUUCAAAUUACUUAUGAUGAUCUCAAGGGCGUUUCAAUUUCAAGGGCAUUUUUAGUCAUUUGACCUAACAUUAAGGGGUUUCAGGAGCCUUUCAAAUAGAUUACGAGGAUUUAAAUGGCAUUUCUGUGGGAUUAAUACGGUUUUAGGGGUGUUUCAAGGCAUUCAGGGGCGUUUGAAGGGUUUUUGUGAAGAGAAUCUUAUGAAACUUCCUAAAAUGCCCCAGUAAUCCCCCUGGAACCCCCUCGGGCUCCAUGUAACGUACCUGAGAUCCUCCGAAACCAUCGAAAUCGCACUUGUAACGCAUUAAAAGCCAGUCGCAAAUCCUCUAAAAGUCUCUGAAAUGUCUUUGAAAACCCUCUCAGAACCCCCCAAAAACGUCCUUGAAACCUGCUCCGAAAAUCAAUGUCCCCACAUUUCCACACUUCCGGUUCUCGGGUUACCUGCACGACUCUUACGCAGUUUUCGGAACUUCAGAAUCACUGGAACUUCAAGUACACUACAUUUAUUUGUUCAACAUCAUUAACACAAGACAUAAUCAACAAUAGUACGCCACAAUACUCGGUUUGUGGCUGCCGCUCUUCAUCCUCGGUCGCACCUAAGAAAUUCAAGUCGAAAUUGUGAAACAGUAUUUUUGUCUGACACCUUCUGGAGCCCCUGAAACGGUCCUAAGACCUCCUAAAACUUCCCUGAGACCCCCUGAAACGCCCCUGAUACUCCUUGAAGCUCUUAGAAGCCCACCUGAGAGGACUCUGAAUCCCCCUUGAACGCUCCUGAGACCACAUAGUACCCCUUGAAAUGCUCCUGAGAUCUCCUGGUACCCCGCUGAAACCCACUGAGCCCUAAAACGCCCCUGCCAACACCCUUCCCAAGUUACAAUUUUUAGUCAAAUAGUCUAAAAAAGGAUUUCAAAACCAUCAUAAAACUAAAAUUAAAGGUAAAAGGUUUAAUGACGGUUCUCAAAACUUCUACAAGACUAAUUGGCCAUCAAAAUGUUACUUGGGUUAAUUCUCUCCUAUUAACGCCCCCUGGCUGCCAUUUCCAUAUGUAGUUACCAUCAUCAUUAAAUUUUCUUCUGCAUAAUAUCGAUUCUGAGUAGCUCUCCCUCUUUUUAUGCAGGGAAUGAAAAAGUGCAUAAAAUAACCUGCAUAAAAUGAUGUUUCAGAGCACACAUUUUUGAAUGUAAAUGUUCUGCUUCUGCAGUUCCUCCAUCACCUCGAAAACAUGCCCGCCCAUUGCAAUACUGCUGCAAUGUAUUUAGACUUUGUAGUCUGUUCAAGCCACAUCAGGCUCGUGCACAGAAAAGGCGACAAGGGAGGGAGGGGUUUUUACUCAUUUUGGUAAAGGUUAGAAGGGCGCCUAGUGUAUGAAACAUCGGUAAUGGGAGGAAUUUAACCCCUAAAACCCCUCCCUUGUGCACACGCUUGAGCCAUAUUCGACACCAGUCAGACUUUUUACUAUGUACUUUGUGUUUCCGAGUUGCUGCGAUUGUUUUCAACCGAUCAUAGGUACAUGUCGUCUGAGAAUCAAACAAAUUGGCCGGAUUUGAUGACAAUCUUUCCCCAGCUGCAAAACGGUGAGUCGAUAAGGAGAGCGUCCAACAUUGCUCUGGUCUUUACAAGUUCCUACCUCAUGCUUCCACGGGUCAAGCGAUGACAAAGACCGCCAGCUAAGAGUUGUGUGCUUAGAUGGUAGUGCAGCCUGGGCACUGUUGUUCUUCUGACUUCAGCUAGAUUGAGGAAGUACGACCUGAGCGUCUGUUCACCAAGGAGGUGCGGCUCAAACAGUGUCUGUUCUGACAUCCAGCGGCUGAAUAUGAAAUGCUCCUCCACCGGAAGCUAUACCUAAGGUGGAAGCGCGAAGGUUGGUUCCGACAACUCGGACUAUGAGCACGUCAUGGGAUGCCAUGGUCUCAGAGAAAUGAGCGAAAACGGAGAGCUGUUUGCAGAGUUUUGUGGUAACAAUGACAUGGUCAUUGUGGAAUCGUCGAGGAGCUAGAGAACCGUGCUGCGGAUAUUCCAGCAAGUGUAAGCGUAGAAGAUCAAUGGAGCUCCAUCAAGAACGCCUUCAUCGCCACCGGCGAGAAUAAUUUGGGUGAGCUACGCACCCGGAGAAAGCAAUGGAUCACAGAUGAUACCUGGAGGAAAAUAGAGGAGCGAAGGAACGCCAAAGCCGCGAUAGAGCGAGCGAAAAGACGAGGAGCCAAAGCCGUAGCCCGUCAGCGCUAUACGGCUCUGGAGAAGGAAGUGAAACGCUCAUGUAGACGGGAUAAAAGAGCGUGGGCGGACCCCCUAGCCGACGAAGGCGAGAAAGCCGCAAACACCGUUCCGUCACCGUUUCCUCUACGAUGUUUCACAUCGCCUUAGUGGGACUAAGAUGAAUGCUACGAUGCCCGUGAAAGACACGUCUGGACAGUUGAUUUGGGAUAGUUUUCUGAUAUAAGCACUGAAUCAGAUGGAUCAUUUUAAGAUUCCGGAUAUUAAUUUACAACCAAGUGCAAGUUGAUUUUCUCAUCCUAAGUAACGAUGCGUGAAGAAGCCAAUUUGGGUUGUUGCGGAUGCUUAGAACGAUGAGAAAGUGUACCCAGUCAACCAGUGAUCGUAUAAGAUGUUGGAUAAGAUGCUAAAGUGGAGGCGAUAUGCAUACAUUUUACAUGCGCCUAAAUGGAGGCAUGCACGCAUAUGGCCUCCACUUUAUCAUCAUAUGCAUCAUCUUAUACGAUUACUGGUUGACUGGGUAGUUGCACUGCCAUAAAUUUCAUCCAAAGGGUGUUCCAGUAGUUGAGAAAAGUGUUGCCUGUUCAGACCUGCUGGGCAAUUAAUUCCCACGCUAUAAGUGGAUUUCUUAUGUAAUUGGGCGGGCAAACAUCUACAGCCACCACACACAUCGCAUCAUGUUUAAUGAGCAACCCGGUUGAAGCUCGUGUUUCCAAGACCCACCCACCUCCAAUUGACGGACGCCCCCACGCCUUCACCGCCCGUUGAUGUGCAGCGAGAAAAGUGUGAAAGUCAAGGAAAAUCGCAAACGACGUCGUUAAAUUAGUGUACCGACCGACACAUUUGCUAACGGCUCGGCUAGACUACCUAAUUGGACAAACGUACACGACGACGACGACGCUGACGACGGACGCAAAUGUGCACGAGUGCACGCGCAUAUUCAAAUGGUUGUUGAACACAUAUCUCGCGAAAAUCGCGAAAGGAACAUGCAACAUUUCCUGGUGCCGGCUUGUUUUGAUCCAGUUGUCUUGUGCACACGAGUGGCAUUCCCAAAAUAAACAGAAUCCAGCAGAAGCGGUGGUGUUGAAUGACAACGACAUCAUUUGGGGGAAGUGUAGUGCUAGAAGCAAUAUUUGGCCGUCCAAUAAACUGAAGAUCUGUUAACUCGGAUUUUCCACCCUUCGCCAUCAAUUUGCGCGAUAUGUUUAUUAUCUGUAGACGUUUUCCAAGUUAUAUUGGCGCUUGAGUAACUUGACUUCAGUUUAGCCAGUGCGCCAUCCCUAUAUAAACCGGAUCAGCGACACAACCGGGAUUGUUCCCUGAACUUCCGAACACAAAUGUAAACACAUUUUCCUAUUGCACUUGGAAAGCAGUCCGCACUGAUCACACUUCAUUAAGUUCGGAUGUCUUUCGACGGCCCAGUAGAGCACAAGUGUUCAAACUCGAACUAGGUUGCCCUAGUAACGAUCCAUCAGGCGCGUUUCAAAAUUAGAAUUGUACACAUUUAUACACACCUGUUCGAAACCAAUAUCCGUGAGCCGUGAAUUGCAAUGAGCUGGAACAGAAAUCAUUUCCUUUGAAGAUCCGUGCCAAUCCGUAGAGUGUUUGAGUUGCAAAUUUAGUACCGUGAAGUGAUGAAUGUAUCAUCAUUAGCGCCACUUGUUGGACGGACACUGGUUUUGAAGACUAACCGAAAAUGAUUAAAUUUACUUUUCUAAUAUGUACACAUCCUGAAAUUGCGCUGGAAGAACAUUACUUGAAGUAUAUACAUAUUAUACAAUUACUGGAGCUAUCUUUGAAGGAAUCCUCGAAUAUAUUCCUGAGGAGUCACAGGAGCAAUUUCUGAUGGAAUCAUUGUAGGAGCUACUGGUUAAAGAUUUGAAGGAUUGUUUAUAGGAAUCCUCGCAGGAAUUUUCUGGAAAAAAAUCUGAGAAGGAAUUUCUGAGAUCCUUAGAAUACUGAUGUAGUCUCUAGAGAUAUUUCAGAAGGAAAAUCUACAGAAAUUUCAGAAAAAAUCCCUAGAUAUAUUUCAAAAUGGAUUUCUAGAGGAAAUUCUGAUUAAAUUCCUGAAGGAAUUGCUGUAAAAUUCACUGAAGGAACUCCAGUGGCAUCCCAGGAAAGCACCUGAAGGGACCAAUGUAUGAUUUACUGUAGGAAUUCCUGGUGGAAUAUCUGGAGAAAUAAAUAAAUAAACUUCUCUAGCUAUUCAUAGAAAAAUCUCAUGAGAUCUUUCCAAAAGAAUUCUUGCAGAAAUCUUAGGAAUAAUCCCUGAAGCAAUUUCUAGAGACAUUCCUUCGGAAGAUUCCACUGGAUUUCCUGGAGGAGUUUAUGAAGGAAUAAUUGUACAAAUUCCUCCCCCAUCAUACAUUCAAAGAGAUGAACGAGCCUACGGCGGAAAAUCUCUAUAAUAAAGUAAUAAUAAUAAUAAUGAAUGUUAGAAUUACUGAAGGAAUCCUUCAAUGCAUUGCUAAAGAUACCUCUGAAAAAAUAUCAGAAGGAAUCCUUGGAGAAAUUCCUGGAAGAUUCACAUUUUUUUCUAAAUUUUCUGAGGAAAUACUUGCUGAAAUUCCUAAAUAAAAAAUCCUUAGAAUACUGAGGAUCUCUCUGGAGAUGUUUCUGAAGGAAAACCUAGAGAAGAUUCAGAAAAAAUCACUGUAAGCAUUUUUUAAUGGUUUCAGGAGAAAUUUCCAAAUGAAUUGCUGAAGGAAUACUAGUAGAAAUCUGUGGAGAAAUUAUCGAAAAAAUCCCAGGAAAAGUCUUGAAGGGUCCGAAGGAGGACUUUCCGAAGGAAUUCCUGGAGGCAUAUCUAAAGAAACGAAUGGAUAUUCGUCUGAAAAAAUAAUAUUAAAAUCCCUUAAGAUAUUUCUAAAGGAGUCCUGGUACAAAUCCAUAGAGUAAAAUAUUUCCUAGAAAAUAUCCAAAUGAAUUCCUGAAGGAAAAAAUGUGAAUAAACUCAUAAGGAAAAGGGUAUCGUUGCAGGAAAUCUUUUAGGAAUGUCUGAUAAAAUACUUAAGUGAAGCUCAGGAUAAACUCCAGAAGAAUUUCAGCAGCAAUUUCUGGAAAACUCUUGCUGUAACCAAAAACAAAAUCUUCCAGAAAUAGUAAGAGGAAGUUUCUGGAGACAUUCAUUUGUAAGUUUCUAAUGAAAUUCCUUCAAAUAUUCCUGUUAGAAUCUGUAGAGAAAAUAGUGGAGAAAUUCUCGAACGUACCUUUGGAAAAAAUUUAGAAGAAACAACAAGAAGAAUACCCGAAAAAUUCUGAAAAAGUUCUUGGGUGAAUUUCUAGAGAAAUGUGUGAAAAAAUUUUGGGAGGAAUUCAGAUUUUAAAAAGUUUUUGGAGAAAUAUCUGAAGGAAUCGCCAGAGGAUUUUUUGAAAUAAUCAUUGGAUGAAUUUAUGAAAGAAGCUAGUCCCUAUCGCCAACUUCACCAAGCGAGUUUUUUUUUUAAACACGGUGUUCAGAAUACAACAACGCUACUAUUGAAAAGUUUAUGAACCCCAAAGGAAUUUUCCUAAGAAAUUCCGGGAAAAUUUUCUGAAAUAUAAUGAAUUCUGAGUUUCAGUUUUCAGAAUAAAAUGAAUCGCUGGAGACAUUUUUAGAGGAAUCCGUGGAUAAUU